UUUUCAGAGAGGGGUCUAGGCCUGAAAUGUCAGCUUUUGUGCUCCUAAGAUGCUGCUUGGCCUGCUGUGUUCAUCCAGCUCCACACUUUGUUAUAUUUAAUAUGUGUGGUUUGGUUCUUAAGCGUACCACCCACUGGGAAUCGUUUUUUCCUUAUCUUUUCUGUCCUUACCUUUAUUGUGAUUUUUUUUUUCAAAUACCUUUUCUUAAAUCUCCUCUCAUUCCAUUCUCUUAAGGAAAACAGCCUAGCCUUUCACAACUUACCUGCAUCACAGAAGUUCCUAAUUCCUGGAACCAUUGUUGUGGUCUUUGCGCUCUAGAGUUUCACACCUUUCCUGAAAUGUGGUACCUCGAACUGAGUACAAUAUCUGAGGUUGAACCAGCGUUAAGUUUAAUAAGCAUAGCACAUUGAGAGGUAAAUUUGUUGGAAGGCUUUAGGAUUUUGAAAGGAAGUGAUAAGAUAGACUGCUUUUCCACAUUGAUGGGGGAUGCUUGGGAUCAUGCGGCAUCAUAGCCAUGCCAUUCAGUGGAGAUGUUUGGCAACACAGUGGUAAAAUUAUGGAACACUCUCAAAAGGCAGUUGAAGCUGUAUCAAUUAAUAUUUUACAUUUAUUUUUAAUCUUCUUGUUCAGAAAUGUUGUGACACACCACCAUGGCAGUUAGGUUUUAACCUGGACAUUGAGCCAGAGGGAGUCACUAAUAUCUGGAUCAGCACAAAGGAUAGUAAUUUUGAGCUUUAGUGUCUGUAAUGCAUGAGUGUAAUUUUUUUAAUCUUAACUAAAUGAGGAAGCAGUUGAAGAUGGGCAGAUAAAUGAUUAACAUUGGUGGAAUGAUAGAGAAUCGGAGAAAACUGAUUGAAGGUAAUUGUCAAAAGAACAAUGCUGACAUGAGGGAAAAGCUCUUAAAGCAGUGAGUAGAGGAACGUGAAAUCCAGGCUUCAAUAAGAAAAUUGGAUUGUCAUCCGAAGGGGAAAAUACUUCAAGACUGCAUGGAAAGUUGAGAGAGUAGGACUAACUGAGCUUGUAUUGCAGACACCUAACACAACCUAUGUUUCUGAUCAAUCUGUUUAGAUGUUACUUCCGACACUUAUGGAGCAAGUCGGUCUUGAACCUGGGUCUCUUGGUCCAAGAGGGUAGGAAUGCUACCUCUGCACCAUAAGAAGGCCCCCAGAGAACUUGCACAAAUGCAGAGGGCUGAAUGACCACCACCUGCAUCGUAUCCAAUGAUUCUCUGAAGUCUUUCAGCAAUGUGAUGGAAGCGGAAGCAGAAACUCUGAUUUUAUUUUUGAGAUGCACAGCUGGAAACCGAUGAAAGGAGGCUGGAAUUAUAGCCUCAUCUGGAGUGUUAUCUCUUUAUGUAUUGAAGACCUCUUUCAUAAAAUCCUAAAUUGUGAUUUGUCUUCAUUCUUUAUAAGAUUCAGACUGGUGUGUUCUAACCCAAUGAUAUAUGGUCCACCUAGAUUUUCAAUUGAAGCUCAACAGGAACCUUUUUAAAAUGAAUACGUUACAGUGGUGCUUAAAUUUGUAUCUACAUUGAUAUAUCUUCAAUUCAAAAAAUCAAACAGCUCUCAAUCAAACAAGAGAUUUGAGGAUGUAGUGAAUUUCACAAUUGUCUUUUUUUCACCAUAGUUUGCUGUACUUAAAACCUGAAAAUUAGAUUAUCUAAUUUGCUCACUCAGUCCUUUCUCCGUACUGUGACAUUUGGCCUUUAAUCAUAGAAUCCCUACAGUGUGGAAACAGGCCCUUUGGUCAAACAAGUCCAUGCUGAACCUCCGAGCAUCCCACCUAGACUCAUCUCCCUGUAACCCACCUAAUCUACACAUCCCUGAACACUACAGGCAAUUUAGCAUAGCCAUUCGCAUAUCCUACACAUCUUUGGCCUGUGGGAGGAAAACCAGAGGAUUCUGAGAAAACCCAAGCAGUCGUGGUAAGAAUAUGCAAACUCCACACAGACAGUCACCCAGAGUUUGAAUUGAAUCAUGUCCCUGGUGCUCUGAGCCAGCAAUGCUAACCACUGAGCUGCCCUGGCGACCUAACCUUUUAAAAAAAUUUUAGUGGUAGGUACAGGCAAUUUCUGCUCACUAAAGCUGUUUUAAGUCCCUGCAAAUAUUGCAUUAUGUUAAUACGAAAUACUUGUACCUUACUCCUAGAAACAAACCAAGGGAAUAUGUUUCUAGCUUUUCUCCUUAUUCACUGUAUGGAGAACAUGAUUGAAACCUUAAGCCUAUAAAAUCAAUGUUGCAAGUUGAGAGGUUGAAUUCAGAAUUUGACAACCAACUUGCAGUGGUACAGCAGUGAAGUGCUGGAGGUAGCAAAUGAUAAAUAUUUAAUGCCCAUGUUUUUCUUGCCCUUCUAAUGCAGUUCCACCGAUACUGAGGAUGACUUUCUUCCAAUCUGGUGUUGUGGGUCCUGAAGUGACUAAACUGGCUGCUACAUCUGCACACCCUGCCACAGAUGGGACAAGUGGUGUUUAAAGAGGAGGAGGGAUGGGGUGCCCAAGUGUUCGCGUGCUGUUUUGGUUCUUUGCACUCAGCCUUUACUUGAGCCUGUCAUACAUGCUGAGGAUGGUUGGCACCUUUUGUAGUUCUGCUUCUCCAGCCUGGGUGGUUCUUGAGCAAGAGAUUCCCAUCAAGUCAGUGGGCAUGGUUUUUUUUAAAAUUUCUUCCAUAAGAAUACUUUGAGGACAUCGUUCAAAAAUUCCCAUUAUCCUCUGGAGAACUGUUUGCUGAGACAGAACUCGGGGUAAAGACCCACUUUUGGAUGUCUCCUGUCGGGUAUACAGAUGGUGUGACUGGCUCAGCACAUCUUAUUGUCAGUAACCAUUAUCUCUGUUACCCCAAGAGAGGGCACUGAUACUGGAAUACAUGUCCUGCAAUUUGAGUUACAGCGGAAUUUUGUGCAAAUUUGCUAUGGUCAACACCAUAUGUUUCCUGACCGCUAACAUCAGUCAUAGCUGAAGAAGUUGUGGAGUUUGAUUUAGGUUCAGCACAGUGAGUUAUUCAAGUUGUAGGACAUGACUGGGAGAGGACUACACCUAAAAUUGAAAGUCUAACCUGCCUAACAUAUCACCACAAGUCCAGCUUCAAGUGAACAAUGCGAUAUUUGAAGAUACAAAUUUGGAUUGAAAAUUUGAAUGAAAGCUAAAGGUAACCGCAUAAAAAGAAAAUCUACGGCACAAUUUGAAGUGGAUGAAUGCAUUUAUCAGGUUAAUAUUCUCCCAGAAACUGGUGAGAAAUUAGACAGCACUUGAAAAUCCAAGGUACUGAAUUUUAAUUAAAAUCAGCUAAGUGGCAAUUUUGUGGAGUACUUGGGGGAUUUCGCUCCCUGAAACUGAACAAGUUUUCUCAUGCAGUUUUACACUGCUCAUCUCAGUAUGUACGUACCCUUCAUCUAUGGAGCUGUACUCAUGGUAUCAUCUGCAGUGGAAGUAUUGCCAGAGCUGGGACUAACUGGCAUGCCCACCACCAGUGCCAUCUUCAAACCCCAGCUAUACUCCAGAUUAUUUGCUGCCAGCCAAAGAGCUACCCUUCACAGGUGCAGUUUUGGAACAGCCGUCCCAGAAAUGGCAAACAAAGGCACGUUAACACUCUGAUUAACUGGCACAGGUGUGGAGUUCCUGGUGGACAGGAUGGUGGAGAGAAGAUCUGUCCUUCUUCCUCAGAAUGACUACAGGAGAUCACACCAGUGAAUCGUGCCAGACCACCUUUAGUUACCACAGUCAACCUGCACUGACCCAAUCUGGAGGAAUGCCCAGCAAUGCCACAAGAUGAUCUUCUGUACUCUGAUCUUCUUUUUGCUUCAUCACACCCUGUAACUCUGCUAUUGCAUCCACCUUCCACUAAACCUCAUGAUCUACUGCUCUCACAAUUGCAUAAACCAUCUUCCCUUGCAUCUUCUCACCCAUCCAACCCCCAAGUCUACUAGCCUGCAAUGUUCUGCUCACUCACUUGGCCAGCUCAUCAGCUAUCUUCCUCCUGCACAGGCACUAACAGCUGUGCCGGCCACUGUUGUAUCACUCAGUUUGUCCCUUUGUCUCAUUGCAGGAGGCAAAGAACCCUACAGUAGGUUGGAUAGCAUGAAGACAGUUGACAAGGUGCCCAAUAUUAUUAUUCUCACCCCCAGGAGGAGGAAGUCUUUGAUCUAGAGGAAAGGGACUGUGACUGCUCAUGUGAAGUUGCCAAGGCAUCCAUAUUAUGGCAGCCACUUAAGAUUUAUUGUCUCGUGCUGCACUGCUCUCCCACUACAGUCUCCGUGAAUGAUGUCUUAACCUGCCUAAGCAUUUAUCCCUAUUUCACAACACAUUCACUCUUUUGUCUUCUGCAGGCACCAUCUAUGUGGUCACCACCAUUAGGAGACUAGCCUCUCAAGACUCCACCUCUGAGGAAACUGUCAAUCAGUCAGAGGGUGCAGUGGGAAGGCAGUCACCUGCACCCCCGCCCCCCCCUUCCCCCGCCAGCUCAGAUAUGGACAUCUCAAUGGGUAUGUUUGCUAGAUUAAAGUCAGGAACACAUUCUGGUGACAGCAUUAUUGCCACAUCUCCACAGCUGACUAAGAAAGAUGUGCCAGACUUAGAGGACAGCUGGAUACUGAGUGUAGAGACUGUAAUGUGGUUAGCCAGGUGGGCCUCAUAGAAUAUAAGUUCCCUGACUGAGAAUGUUAAUCUGGCCCAAUCAGGGAGCCCUGGCUGACAGAUAUAAACAGGAAUGUCAGAAAUUCUGUUUACUCUGCGAGUUGGCUCUGAGGAAACUGAAUCAGUGUCAAGGACUUUUCACAUGUAAAUAAAGAGUGACUUGAUGAUGGGAUAUUGGCCUUUGUGGAGUUACUUUACCCCUUGAACAUGUUAACAAUACAUUUGCUGUGGCGGUAAUAGGAGAUUAGUACAACACGAUGAAUCUUACUUGAUUGCCAUGGCAGGGAAAGCUUGGCAUCCCAAAACAAACAGGAUAGAUCCUCUUGCUUAUGCUCAGGUAUUGUCUUCUUGUACAGGGUGAGGAGGUGAGUAUCAGCCAUAUCACUACUAGUCUUGGCCAUUCUAGCCCUAUUGUGUUCCAUGUUCUCCUGAAAUAAAUGAGAUGAAAGUGGCUGGCAAAGCUGUUGAUAUUGGAGGAGGAGGAAGCAAGUUAAUGAGCUGUCCUGAGUGAGUGAAUAGGAAGUACAGAGGACAAGGUUAGUGAUUAGGGGGCAAUGGCAUGAGUGACAGUAAUUGAGUAAAAAUGCUGCUUGUACUAGUGACAGUGUACAGUAUGAGCUUCUGUGGGAGGUGGGUGCAGUAACUAAGUUUGAGUAUGAGGUCAGCCAAAAAAAAUGGUGUCACUUACCCUUGUGGAGCACAAGUCAUUAACUUUCAUGCACUGCUCUCUGUUCUUCUGGGCAGCAGAAAUGGCUCUGAUCCAGUUGGCUAUUUGAUACCAGGCUGGCAGUCUCCGAUGCUGUGAUUUCCUCUUAUAGCCCUCUUCUCCACCAUUCAAUCCACCCCAGAAUCACUGUUGACAAAGUAAGGUCUGAACUUCCCUCUCUCAGACUCCUCCUUUGGAAUUGUACAAUGGCUUCUGGCAUUUCACAUGGUGUGCAGCUGGGGUUCAAGCAUGGCUCCAGCGGUGUGAAUGCUGUGAGCAUUUCCAUUGCUGCCGAGCGCACGACUGUAUUGAGAGUGGUAUUAUAUACUUAAUAGUAGUAUAUUAAGUAUAUACCCUGUCAGUAUAUAUGACAGCGUAUAUACUUAAUGAUGAGAGAUGCCAAGAAUUGUGUGGAGACAGUCACCAGGGCUCAUGGAGGGACACCAUUUGUGAAAUUCCCCAAAAUUGACAAUUACCCAAAACAUAAGAAAAUUCAGCCUCCUGUUUCCCUCAUGGCACAUGUGAUUUUUUAAAACUCAAAUUUGGUGUUAAUCCAGCUGGCGCAGGCGUGAGCGUACAUAGCAUUGUUACAGGGAUCUCCUUUGUGUGAAAUGUUAAAUUGACAGCUCAACCCAGUGUUCAGUUGAAAGUUAAAGAUAAACAAUAGAAUGGUGGACUGAAAUGAGAUGAAAUGUAUUUGAAUCUUUCAUCCUUAAAUUAUCAAACUCACAUAUUCAAUUGUAGCCAAUUAUUACUAUUAUUUUUGGUAAUACCUGUGAGGAAUCUCAUUCUAUUCCCCAGUGUGCCAGUAGCUAUCUGCUUGCUUAGCAUAAUACUGAGCCAUAAGAAUGCAGCUUCAUGUUUAGGUCUGUGAGGAAUGUUAAUCUUAGAUCAAAUAUGUUUGCUUAUGUGCAGGUGGAGGUGCAGUAAUUUUCACUACAGCACAAAUAGAGAGACACUUAGUGCAGUUGUGAGUAGUUGAAUUAGGAAAAAUGUGCUUGAAAUGUUUCACAUUGUAAAUAAAUAUAAGACUGAGCAAAGGUUGCUUCCAGUAUCGUUGGCUUUCUGGAAUAUAACAUUGAAUUCACUGUCAGCAAUGUAAUAAUGGAUAUAAUAUAUGGCCUGUGCUUAAGCCAAUGUGUUUGAUAAAAAGGGCAAAAGGAAGAAUUUGAUAUUAGCUCAGUGCAGUAAUAUGCAUUGUUAAUGCUCAUUUCUACCCUGUUAAUGUUUGAGCAGAUACAUGAAUGUCAGGUAGUCAAGGUCUGCUGGAACCAAUUGUCUAAAACAUUUAGUUGGGAGAAGCAGAAAUGUAGAAGAAGGUCGAAAGAUGUAAUCACAUACUGUGAUGAAUUGCUGAAACUAAUAACAUACUUUAACCUUUUGGCAAUAGUUAAUGAAGUUAGAACCCCCACAAGGUCAUUCUUAUUGCUUUCAAAACAUUAAAAAAAUGUAUCAGAAGUUUGCAUGUUCAAAUCCUUUUUUUUAUGUACCCUAUAAAAUGUUUAAUGAAGUACAGUUUAUGUUCAGGAACAAAUUGUAAAUCAAGACAUUUAGUGGUAAGUUGGUCGUAUACCUGUCACACACGAACAGAAGGUGCCUUGUGCGCUGUUUACUGUAAUAAUGGCAUUGAGGUGCAUUUUCAAUCUGAUUCAAAUGUUAAGAAAGGAAAAGUACUGGAGAUUUGUCCUUUCUUAAAUAUCGUAAGGGUGAAAAUCAACUUAGGAAGUGAUGUAAAAUAUUUGAUAUUAUAUUUUCCAUCCAAAAUUCACUUCCCAAUGUUCUUGGCACUGAAAAUAACUAGUGAUAGAUGCAAUAUAUUGUACCCAAAUUUCACCAACUAUUGAUAUCCUUCAUGAAGUGAGAAAACCAAAAGGGAUGCAUUUGGUUCGAGAUACCUUAAGUUUUCUUUUGAUUCUUGAGUUUUGUUUUCUGAGGUGAUGGAUUGCAAAUGUGACUGCUUUGCUCAAGAAAAGAAGGAGACAGAAAACAGAAAACCACAGGCUGGUCAGCUGAAUAUCCCAUAUUUCUAAGGUCUGCUAGUUUAUGCUGUGUAAAUCAGUCAUUUGAAUCCUUUUCUUUAUUCAUUCAUGAGAUGUGAGUGUUGCUAGCUGGCCAGCAUUUAUAGCCCAUCCCUAGUUGCCCUUCAGAAGGUAGCAGUGAGCUGCCUCCUUGAACUGCUGCAGUCCAGCUGCCUACAAUGCUGUUAGGGAGGAAAUUCCAGAAUUUUAACACAGCGACAGUGAAGGAAUCGCAACAGAUUUCCAAGUCAGGAUGGUGAGUGACUUGGAGGUGAACUUGCAGAUGGUGGUGUUCCCAUGUAUUUGCUGUCCUUGUCCUUCUGGAUGGAAGUGGCCACGGAUUUAGAAGGUACGGUCUGAGGAUCUGUGGUGAAUUUCUGGUGUGCAUCUUGUAGAUAGCACACGCUGCUGCUACUGAGUGUCAGUGGAGGAGACAGUGGAUAUUGUGCCUGUGGUGCUACUCAAGUGGGCUGCUUUCUCUUGGAUGAUGUCAAGCCUCUUGAGUGUUGUUGGGCUGCAUUCAUCAAGGCAGGUGGGAAAUAUUCCAUCACAUUCCUGACUUGUGCCUUGUAGAUGAUGACCAGGCUUUGGGGAGUCAAGACGUGAGUUAAUACAGUUUUCCUAGCCUCUGACCUGCUCUUCUCGUCACUGUAUUUCUAUGGCAAGAUCAGUUCAAUUUCUAGUCAAUUGUAACCCCCAGGAUGUUGAUAGCAGGGGAUUCAGUGACUGUAAAACCAUUGAAUGUCGAGUGGCAGUGGUUAAGUUGUCUCUUGUUGGUUAUGGUCAUUGCUUGGCUUCUGUAUGGCAUGAAUGUCAACUUGCCACUUGAUAGCCUAUGCCUGAAUAUUGUCUACUCCAUGUUGCAUUUGAACAUGACUGCUUCUGAGGAGUCACAAAUUUUGCUGAACGUUGUACAAUCAUCGGCGAAAAUCCCUACUUCUGACGUUAUGAUGGAGGGAAAAUCACUUAUGAAGCAACUGAAAUUGGUUGGGCAUAGAACACCUGCCUGAGGAACUCCUGCAGAGCUGUCCUGGAACUGAGAUGACUGAUUUCCAACAACCAUGACCAUCUUACCAUGUGUCAGGUAUGGCUGCAAUCAGCAGAGAUUUUUCCCCAAUUCCUAAUGACUCCAAUUUUGAUAGGGUUCCUUGAUGCCACAGUUAAUCCAAUACAGCCUUGAUGUCAGGGGCUGUCACUUUCACCAAAUGUCUGGAAUUCAGCUGUUUUGUCCAUGCUUGAACCAAGGCUGUAAUGAAGUUAGGAGCUAAGUGGCCCUGGUGGAACCCAAACUGAACAUCACUGAGCAGGCAAUUGCUGAGAAGGUACUGCUUGACAGCACUGUCAAUGACACCUUCCAUUACUUUACUGAUGAUCAAGAGCAGACUGAUAGGGUGGUAAUUGCCAAGUUGGAUUUGUCUCCAAUGAUUAUGUUCCUUAGCAAUGCAUUAAUAGUAUGGUGGAAAAUCUACUAUUAAGGAGGCUAUAGUGAGGGGUUUAGAAAAUUGUAAUGCAAACAGGUAGAGUCAACAUGGUUUUCUGAACGGGAAGUUAUGUUUGACUAAUUUAUUAGCGUUCUUUAAAGAAGUGACAAGCAAAGUAGAUAAAAAAAAACAGUAAAUGUAGGUUUCCAGAGAACGUUUGACAAGUUGCCAUCAGAAGUUUACUACAAAAAUUAAUGGGGUAAAAUAUUAGCACGGUAAGCUGAGAAGAAGCAGGGGGUAGAUAUAAAUGGGUCAUUUUCAGGCUGGCAGUAUUGAAACUGGUGUCUGUACAAAACUGAGUUUUUCCCCUAGUAUUUCCCGUGUGUUGAAAUCAUAUGUAACUGUUGCUACAGUAGGUGAGAUAAUAGGAAUUGCAGAUGCUGGAGAAUCUGAGAUAACAAGGUGUAGAGCUGGAUGAACACAGCAGGUCAAGCAGCAUCUUAGGAGAUAUUAACAAGUGCCCAGGGUCAUAGGCAGGCAGUUCUUGCAGAGGGCAAUCUCAUUAGGGAGUUGUUUUCUGGAAGAUGAACCAGGAAAAAAAUUGAGGGAAGACCCAAAGAAGAAUUUCCCAUCACUAACUUUCUUCAGUGUACCCUUUGCUUGGAUCCUGAACCAUGUACAAAUUCUCAAUUCCACCUGCUGACCUUGCCAUGUUCCUAUUUGCAUUGGAUGGAAAACAUUUCAGAGCAAUUAAAUAGCCAAGGCAUUGUGCUAAAUUCUCCCAGGAUAAUCACUGGCCAUUUCAAGUCAAAAUCAGGUUACUGAAUUUUAUAAGCCCAUGAAAUUGCAUAUAACUCUGAAGGGAUAGAAUUUCAACGUGACAGCUGACAUUGUGAUUUGACCACUUAUUGGGGGAAACCAUCUGAUUUUUAUUCCCAAUAAAUUAUAGAGCUAGUACUGUAAGCUGGUACUGCAUUUUUGAGAACUUUGAAUCCUAAGAAGUAUUUUGGGAUCUAUGAUCCUUGUAAGUGUUUGUCGUAGAGUAGCUAUGGGCUUAUGGGCUACCAUGAUUCCUAGUGGUCAUAGGAGUCUUGUUGUCAGUUCUGCUAAGUUCUUAAUGUAGGGCAGUGUGGUCAGUGUGUUAGGGCAUACUGUGUCCACAUGUUGUUUAUUAGUAGGCAUCAGCAGAUGAAGUUGUGGGGACAUCCGUUUAUAAUGAAGAUUUUGUGUAGGUGCUCUUCCUCUUUCCUCCAAGGUUCUGGCGUGUUUCAGUGAGUGGUGGUCCAUUUUAAAUAGUGUCCAAAAGCAGCUUUGUUCGUGGACCUUGGGGUGGUUUCUGUGGAAGCUGAGGAUUUGGAUAGUGUGGGUUACUUUGCUGUAUACCGAGGUUUGGAACUCCCCGUUGGUCAUGCGUUCAACUCUGAUGUCCAGAAAUGAAAGCUGAUUGUUGUUGUCGUCUUCUCUUGUGAAUUUAAUCCCGUUGAUGAGGUGAUGAGUCUUUUCUAGAUUGGUGCAUUUAAUAAUGAUAAAUGUGUCAUCCACAUACCGGAUCCACACCUUAGGUUGGAUGAGGGGUAGGGUAGUGUGUUCUAGUCUUUAUAUGACUGCCUCUGCAAUGAGUCCUGAAAUGGUGACCUCAUAAGUGUGCCAUUGAUCUAACUGUAUACUUGACCAUUAAAGAUGAAGUGUGUGGUGAGGCACAAGUCUAGUAGGUUGAGUACAUUGUCAUUGCUGAUACAGCUGCUGAUCUGCAUUCCUGCUUCGUCUAGUGUUUCUUUGGCUAGUAGGAUAUCAACUAACAUGAAUAAUGCUGUGAUGUCAAAGGAUACCAUAAUCGCAUCAUUGCUGAUUUUUAUGUUUUUGGCCUGAUUCGCACAAUAUGCAGAACCAAAACAAUUUACAAAAUACCACGCAAUGACUGCCACAAACAUUAGACAGGAAAGAAACUAGCCAUCAGAAUACAGGAACAUCAGCUAGCAGCAAAAUGACACAAAAAAAUUUCCUUAAUAUCAGCAUACUCGGACAAUGAUAGCCAUCUGUUUAACUGGAACAACGUAACCAUAGUAACCCAAGCCAAACAUAGACAGGCACAGAAAUUCCGAGAGGCAUGGUUGCCAACCCAUAAUGCAAUCAACAAACAUAUAGAAUUGGACACCAUAUACAAACCCAUAGAGAACAAAACUGGAAAUGACACUACAAUGAUGCGAUUAUGGUAUCCUUUGACAUCACGGACCGGACAGUAUAAAUUCCAAGUGGAGUAGAACAACAUCACUUCAUCAGAGGCCUCACUGAUGACGUUACCUAGCAUAGUGACGAAACGUCUGAACAAAAACAGGCCAGCUUGGCAAGCAAGUCAACAACCUCACCCACAACCUGAGCUACAAAUCUUUGCUAAAACCUUAAAAAGCCUCUAUGGGAUUUUGCAGAUUCUGCAAAAUGUAGGAGGGGUCAGAGCCACAGGUGGUCCUCAUGUGGGAAACUAUUAAAGUAAGCUAGUUAGAAGCCUCUGGCUCUAAAUCAGAGUUGUGGAUUUUUUUUCAAAAUCCCCAGAACCUUCUGGACCAUUUCAGUGUAAGUCAGCUUCAUGGUGGCUUCAACAGUGGUCCUGGCUAGCAACUUUAGCUUAGGAUUCAGCAAUGACUACCUUCAUAUUCAAAUGUCAGGGCACUACAAAGGAGGAGGAACUCUUGGACAACCACAAGCAAAAGGUUUUUUUCUAAUGUUGAAUGAUCGAACCCAGGCAUACUGCAGCAUAUUUGUUACCUGCUGUCCUAACCUUUGGUGUGAUCUGUCAUGACCUCAGCAAUAUUCUUGAUCACAAGUUUUUGUUCUAAUUUUAAAUUAUUAUUAAACCAAAAAUGUAACAAGGCAAAAUCAAAAGUAAAACUAUUGCAAACUCCAUGGAUAAUGAUCAGAUAUGAUUACAGCAAACAAUGAGCAAUAUUUUAACAGGAUGUGCUCCCCACAGAACUUGAAGUAAUGAAGGAAAGGCCUGAGCUGUUUAGCAGAGUAGAGAAAUUUAAGUUAAAUUUAAGAUUUGAGAUUAAAGCAAAUUUUAAAAAAAAAAAUCAUCUGGUGUAAAGGAGUUUGAAAACUCAGAAAAAUUGAAGAUUGUCAAUGAACAGGCAAGGUCUUAUCAAGGAAAAUGAGAAGGCAUAGGGAACGAUCAAUAUUUUGUCUGUUUUCACUUUGUGGGGCAGAGAUAUCACAGAGGCCAGUGAUCAGAGCGUGGGGGUGGGGCCAUGAUCAAGAAAUCCCCCGCACCUUAGGCCUUCCCUAUCCACUGUAAAAUUGCUGCCAGGUAGAUAGCAAGAAGGACACCCACAGAUGUUUAAAUGCCUCACUCUAACCCGCAAACCAUGCCCACCCCACCCACAGCAAGGAACCAUACAACUUUUCUCCAACUUCUUUACACACUAUACGAGCUAGUCGCCCCUUCUUCAUAGAUAUAUGAACUCCUAAGUGUGUGUGUUCCUGCACCUGCAUUAAAAUUUUUCCUAGACACAUGGCACAGUAGAGUAAAAUUAGUAAAAGUCAAUAAUCAGCCUUCUGUGGUUUUGCUGGAAUGAUCGACAAAAGAAGUUUUAAAAGUAACAGUGUGAUGAUUUUAUUUUCAUUAAAACAAAAUUGAAUCAUGACUGAAGGCUGAAAUCAUCGCUUAAAUUAGUGACACUAAACAGACUUGAAGGUCUCAUCACACCUAACUUUCGCUGCAGCUACUGAGUUUAUUUAAGUUAGCCUCCAGUAGUGAGAAGAGAAUUAGCUCAAUUCCCACUCAUAUCCUUUGGUAGAUAGUUCUUUUUAUGCUGAAAUAUGAUGGGGUUCAUUAAGCUGUUAAAACCAGGUAAGUAAUAUAUACACAUAUAUCAACAAGGGCCACACGGCUUAAGUUACUGUAGGGUGACAGUAGCCGGAAAUCUGUCUCCAGAGCAGAAGUCACUAUGUUCGGAGAGGAAAUUGAGGGUGUAGGGAGUUGGCCUUCCGAUAGCUGUAGGAAAAACAGAUCAAGAUGAUGUUGGCUGCAACACAACCCUGUUCUUUGUUUACAUUUGACAGCAAAAAGCAAAAUUAACUCUAAUAGUAUUGAAUGUCUGGUAAUUGUAGGGUGAGUUUUGAAAUAAUUAGGUUGUAACCUCACCUGUGCUGUUUCAGCAACUUUUUCUUUCCCGAGCUAAUCCAUUUUAUAUUUUUUACAAUCCACAAGGAGCUGACAUAUCUUAAAACUUGUAGUUUGGAAUUUUGUCCUAGAAAAUUUCUUCAAAUUCAAGUUUUUAAAAGAACCCAACACAGUUCUGAGCAAGAGUCACUGGACCCAAACACUAACUCUGUUUCCUCCUUCACAGAUGCUGCCAGACCUGCUGAGCUUUUCCAGCAACUUUGUUUUUAUUGGAUAUGAUCCAUCUCCAAACGCCUGAGUAAAUAUGGUUCCAACAACACUCGAGAAUCCAAGACAAAACAAACUGCUCGAUCAGCACCACAUCCACCAGCCACGUAUAUAUAAAUUGACAUAGGGCAAUGAGUGAUCAUCAUACAACUUGGAAUGACAAAGCAGAUGCUAACAGCAAUGAAACUUGCACUUCUACAGCUUUCUAAAUCUAAAAUAAUUAUGAUAUCCUUUACAGAGGAAGACCUGCCAUUUAUGUGGUUCCAACACCACAUCAAUGUGGUUGACAUUUAAGUGCCUUCUUAAAUGGCCCAGCAAGCCACUCAGUUGCAUCAAACUGCUACAGAAGAUGCAUUUGGAUGCUAGACUCUGCGACUAUACCAUGAUCCUGUGAUAAAUUUACUGUUUCACAUUGUUUUACUGUUGGCAAAUUUACUGCUGGCAAAUUUACUGCUUGUAACCUGUACUCUGCUUUUACAAGUUUUACAAGAAAUCAUUUCUGAAGCUGAAGUCUUGGCAAUACAAAUUAAUUAUUAAGAAACUUUGUAUAUGUACACAAGUGUGCAUAUACUUGUGCUCCUGUUUUCAACUCAUCAGAUUCUUUUGAGCAUUAAUGUUUAUUUUGGGGAAUAUCAUUUAAAUCGCUCAAGAAAUUAUUUUUUGCAAAUCACUCAUGUCAUGUAUUAGGUGAAUGCUCAAGAAUUAAUUUGGUAGAUUUAUAGACUCUAUUGUAUAUGUGUCAUCAGUCACUAAAUCAGUCUGGGAUUUUAGUGUGUGGUGAUAUUGCCAUUGUAGGAUUAGUGUAGAAGUUAUGGAUGCUGAUUGUCUUGAAAAUGGUAACAUAACUUGUGACUGAUUUUCAAGUUAUAUGCAUUUAAUACAUGUCACAGAUAAUUCACAACAGGCACUUAUAGCAGACACAGAGUUUAGGUGGGGCCAGGCCAGCCAGUAUACUGAGGGUACAAUUACAUUCCUCAAAAAUACCCCUGAACAUAAAAACAAUGCAUACAUUCUCAUUUGGAGUCAAAAGUAAGGCAAGUUACCCAACAUGCACAGUCACAAAAAAAACACAUUAACAAAAUUAACAGUCAUUACAUGGUCACCGUGAGGCCAGUAUUUUUAUUCCAUAUUUUUACUAAAUCUACCAUGGUGGAAGAUUAGUCUAGGGUUUUGGGUUAUUAUUCCAGUGGCAUUACCACUACACUACCGGUUUUUCACUUCUAUUAGUCUUUUCACAUAUAUUGCACACAGGGUCCCAUAAUGGUAUUUAUAUGCAAUUCUGUCAAAUGUUUGAUUGGUAUCUGCUCAUUUCUAGGGUUAAUUUACUUCACUGUGGGGGGUUUUGUUCCUAUAGCAAGUUCUGUUGCAUUAGCAACAACUAUGUCAAUUCUAUUGCUGAGGAACGGUGGACUUCCAAGAUUAAUGGUUGCUUUUUUUUUGUCAUCUGAAUAUAGCAUUGUUCAGUUUGCAUAAAAGUUGCUCCAAGUCCUGACUCACUGUUAUCGUACAGCAAGGUGUCUUCAUCAUUCACAUCUUGGUACCUCUACACUGCCAGUUUAAUGACUAGUUACAGCAAAUUUUAACUGGCCUCUUUUGAACCAGCAUUCUUAAUAAACCAGCAAAAAUUAUAUCCUGGAAAUACUAGAACUUUAUUAUCAUGAUCUCUGCAAUGUUUAAGUAGUCGGUUGAGGUGUCGGUUGAAAAGGCUCUCUGCCACUAAGUUAAAUUUAAGGCAAAGUUGCUUUAUUAUUUUAAUGAUUUAUGCUGUGAAUAAAGUAUCACAAUGAUGUGAAUUCCCGCACAUUAUGCGACAGUGUUAUCUAGUGUGUGUUUUUACAUUGAUUAUGUGGACCUCUUGUUCAACCAGCACACUCCAGGUCCCAUUGGUGCAGGUUAAUAAAAAGCUUGCUGUAUUUGAUUCUAUUGAAAGCUACUCCUUUAUCUGCGCUCAAUGCCACUACAUACCCCUAGCAAUGAGCUUGCAUAGAUAUUCACACUCUGAUAAAUCAGGCAAGAACUUUGCAAAGCCAUUCACAAAUCCAACAAAUCACUGCAGUGCUUUCAAAUUCAUUGGCUACUGCAUCUCUGCAAUUGCUCUCACAUCAUCAGGUUCUGAGCAAAAUGCUUUUGCUGUUAAUACAUGACCUAUUAAAUUGACUUCAGGCAUCUAAAGUUGUAUUUUAAUCUUGUUCACCUUCAGGUUCACGUGGUAGGUUCUUUCUAGCUAUUACACUAGAUUUUGACCACCAUCUACAACGAGUUCUUCCACUGAAUUUCAUAUCCAUUGACUAUGAGACUAUCCACAAGUUUCCACUCCAGGAAGAACACCACUGAACAUUUUGUGCUGUCUGAUUUGAUAUCUUUUUGUAGUAGAAAUUCAAAAUGGUAUUUACAAUCAUCAGUAUCUUCUGAAUAACAUGCAGAAUAGAGUUAGAAAAUUUCUGCUUACAUUCAGCUUCAUCUUCAUAUCAAGAUUCAACCUUUUCUUUGGCAAGCUGUGUCAAAAUUUCUUCAAUGAUUGGCAUAAACAGUGAGAUGGUCAAAAUAUUUAUUUAGAUCCUUAGGAUCUGUUCAUACUCUCAGUUGACCAGGUGUUUUCAUGAUUGUGUCACUGAUCUAGCCUGUAGAUGUUGUCACUUUCAGGUUGGACUUGAGGGCAAGUGGAACUGCCUUCAGCAGAUGCUGUGCUGGUGUCACACUCUCAUCCACUUCAAGAUAAUAUUCACCGGGAAAACAUCAGAGAUCUGUAAAAUCAUCCUUUUAAUCUUCUAGGAUCUGUUUGACAGUCAAUGCCUCAGGGGCCUGCAAAAUGCUGCAAAUCUCUUUUGACAUGAUUCAUGUUACUCUGUUCUGAAAAAGUAAUUGGGCUAGAAACAUUAGCUCUGUUUCUCUCUCCACAGAUGCUGCCAGACCUAUUGCACUUUCCAGCACUUGCUGUUUUUAUCCUUUUUUUUCUGUUGUGAUGAAUGGAUUUCACAUAUCUGGAACUUUGAGUCUUUAUUCUUCACAUUAUAUUGGACGCUCAGCUUCAUUUGCCCUUUUGGCUUGAGUUUAAUUCCAUCAUACAGCUUCAAUCAUACUUAUGAGGGUCAUCACUUUUUGCCACUCGGCACAGGGCUGUGAAACCCACAAUAAUGCAGAUCAGACUUCAUGUUCGUUUGACGGACUCUUUUUGAAGACACCAUUCUUACAGUCAAAACUUUAUAUAAUAUAAAAUGAUUUUCAGAAUCAUCAGCUAAUAUCUCUCCAGCAACCAUAAAAUUUUAAAGGCUUGGUUUACAUUUUCAGAGUUGAAUGCUUACAUUUAAAGUGUUUCAGCUGACUGCAGUUAAAGCACAGCUUUCUCUUUAGUAUGAUGUUGUCUGCAACAUUAACAUUAAUCCUCAGAUUGUCAGUUUUCUGAUUACUUUUCUGCAAAUCUUUCUUAGUUUUCCCUAAGCUGUUAUUCUCAUUCAGCCUGGAAUGUCCCUCAGCAUUACGUGAAGGCUUGCCUUUUCUCCCAUUAUAUACAAUAGCUGAGAUUGACAACCUCAGAGUUUCUGCACAUGUUGAAAAUUUUCUUGAAAGCAAGUUUCUGCUCUCUCAGCAGACAUGUUAUCAUGGCAGGAUCUCUUAUGCCCAAGACAAACCCAUCACUGAUGAGAUCUGAUUAUAUUAUCUUUCAGUCAUCCAAAUUCAAAAUGAUUCAAUUCAAUGUAUUAGUGCAAUUACAUGCCGAUCAGUAGUCUAUUACGCCCCUUGAACUGAAUGCUGAAUACCUUUCAUAGACAACAGUUUCACAGAGAUACAGAACUCCUACAUUUGGGAAAGAGGCAUUUCAGUCCAUCGAGUCUGCAACAACUCUGCAAAGAGCAUUCCACCCUGACCCUGCACAUUUACCAUGGCUAAUCCACCUAGCCUGCACAUUCCUGAACAUUAAGGGGUAGUAUCAGCAUGGUCAUUCUACCUAACCUGCACAUCAUUUGACUGUGGAAGGAAACCACAGCAACUAGGGGCAACCCACACAGACACAGAGAGAAUGCGCAGAUUUCAAACAGACAAUUCCCUGAAGCUGGAAUCGAAAACUAGUACAAAAUAUAAAAAAGGUCAGCAAAAGCUUCGAUAAGCAUAUAAUAAACGAGGAGAGAAUAGUUAAAGUGAAUGUUAGUACAUUGGAGAAUGAGACUAAGAAAUUAAUUGGGGAGAACACAAAUAGAGGCAUUAAAUCAAAAUGUUGCCGCUGAAGUAACUCCACAGAGAUCAGUAUGCCAUCACCAAGUCACCUCUUAUUUACAUGUGGGAAGUCUUUGACCCUAAUCAGCUGCCUCAAAGCCAGCACUUCAAUUGAACAGAAUCCCCAACACUCCUGUUCUCAUCUGUAAGUCAGGGCUCCCUGAUUGAGGUUGUAUGGCUGGUCCAAUCAGGGAACUCAUAUUCUGAGGUCCACUUGGCUGACCUCAUUACAUUCUCUAUAGCCUCAGUUUUCACAACGAAGGAUACCAGUGCCAUCCUAAUAAUAACAUGUAAUGCAGAGGUUAUAGGAAGGCAGAAACAUGGAACAAUUGUCAUCACUAAGGAAAAAGUAUGGAACAAACUAUGUGGAUUGAAGGCAGACAUGUUUCUAGCACCUGAUUACUUAUAUCCUAUGCUGUUAAAGAAAGUGGCAGCAGAGAUAGUGGAACUAUGGUAAUAAUACUCUAAAAGUUCCCUGGAUGUGGGAAAGGCUCUCGUACGUUAAUGUUAAUGUAGCAUGCUCGUUCAAAAGGGAAUACAGAACUACAGACCAGUUAGUUUAACAACCUAUCAUUGCAGAAUUAUAUGAAUCCAUUUUUAAGCAAGUCAUAACAGGUACUUGGAAAGUCAAAACACAAUCCAUUGGAGCCAGCAUGGUUUUGUGAAGGGUAAUUUUGAUUAAUUUGUUCUUGUUGAUUAAUUUGUUGAGUUCUAAUGUAACAAUGGAUAAUGGUGAUGUAUUGUAUCUGGAUUUACAGAAAGACACAAAGGGUCAAUACAUAAGGUAAGAUCACAU